rnacentral:rRNA from 1 species
ACGGCUCACCAAGGCUACGAUGUAUAGCUGGUCUGAGAGGAUGAUCAGCCACACUGGGACUGAGACACGGCCCAGACUCCUACGGGAGGCAGCAGUCGGGAAUCUUGCACAAUGGGCGAAAGCCUGAUGCAGCAACGCCGUGUGAGCGACGAAGGCCCUAGGGUCGUAAAACUCUGUUGUUAGGGACGAAGGGCGAAGGGUUAAUAGCCCUUAGCCUGACGGUACCUUUCGAGGAAGCCCCGGCUAACUACGUGCCAGCAGCCGCGGUAAU